GAUAUUCUCCAGCCUUUUCCUAGCCACUUUCUAUUACUGGAUGUUUAGCAAUUCUGUCUGAGUAUGUAACCAUAGAAACUAGACAUCAUGGCAAUUCACAUCAGUCUUCCCCCAUCCCUCACCCCUGCCCCAGACCCAGGAAACUGUGCUGCUAAAAUGCUACUUUUGUAGUAGAGAAUAAGUCAUGGGGUCUUCCUUGUCAGCAGUACUUACACCUUGCUAUUUCUGACAACAUCCUAACUAUUGCAUGGAAACAACUAUCAGCCUGGAAUGCAAAUAUUAAAAAAAUAAAUACUCACGUAAGCACUGUGGGACUUCACCACUCCAUGUUCCGUUCCCAACACAAGUCAAAACAGCAGGAAAUGAUAAUUCAUAGCCAGGAAACAUGUACUGAAGUGCAUGAUACAAGAAGAUUUGUACUCAAUACAGUAUAAAAAUGGAGAAAUGGAAAAAAAUGGUGGGAAACAAAUGUGAAAUUGACCAUGUCAGUGGUGUACAAGGAAAAUCAGUACAAGAUGUUUUAUAGAUGGCAUCUCCCGCCGGCGAGACUUGCCAAAAUGUUUCCAAAUACGUCACCGAUUUGCUGGAAAUGAUGGAAGCUGACCAGACCAGUUGUGAUCUUGCUGGCAUAUCCGUACAGAAGAACCAAUGAGCCGAAAGCCAGGAC